rnacentral:rRNA from 1 species
UACGAGGGGGCUAGCGUUGUUCGGAAUUACUGGGCGUAAAGCGUGCGCAGGCGGCCUUCCAAGUCAGGGGUGAAAGCCCAGAGCUCAACUCUGGAAUUGCCUUUGAGACUGUGAGGCUUGAGUACGGGAGAGGUGAGUGGAAUUCCCAGUGUAGAGGUGAAAUUCGUAGAUAUUGGGAAGAACACCGGUGGCGAAGGCGGCUCACUGGCCCGAAACUGACGCUCAUGCACGACAGCGUGGGGAUCAAACAGG